rnacentral:rRNA from 1 species
UACGUAGGUGGCAAGCGUUGUCCGGAUUUACUGGGCGUAAAGGAUGCGUAGGCGGACAUUUAAGUCAGAUGUGAAAUACCCGAGCUUAACUUGGGUGCUGCAUUUGAAACUGGGUGUCUAGAGUGCAGGAGAGGUAAGUGGAAUUCCUAGUGUAGCGGUGAAAUGCGUAGAGAUUAGGAAGAACACCAGUGGCGAAGGCGACUUACUGGACUGUAACUGACGCUCAUGUGCGAAAGCGUGGGGAGCAAACAGG